rnacentral:rRNA from 1 species
GACGAACGCUGGCGGCGUGCUUAACACAUGCAAGUCGAGCGGAGCGGCGGACGGGGGAGUAACGCGGGAGUAACUGCCCCCCUCUCUGGGCUAACAGUUGGAAACGGCUGCUAAUACCGGAUAGUGGGGGAUGACUCGCGGCCUAUCAGCUUGUUGGUGGGGUAGUGGCCUACCAAGGCGACGACGGGUUGCCGGCCUGAGAGGGCGACCGGGCACAUUGGGCUCGGAUACGGGCAAAACGCCUACGUGGGGCAUGGGUGGAGAAUAGUGCGCAAUGGGGGAAGCCCGGAUGCAGCAACGCCGCGUGCGGGAUGACUGCUUUCGGGUUGGAAACCGCUUGCAGCCAGGACGCGGUAGUGGCAGAAGAAGCACCGGCUAACUACGUGCCAGCAGCCGCGGUAAUAC